rnacentral:rRNA from 1 species
CCAGGUUCCGUAGGUGAACCUGCGGAAGGAUCAUUAGUGAAUUCUUGGGAAGUCCCUCUUAACCGGAGAAGGUCCCGUAUUCUACUAUCUUUACACCCUGUGCAAUUGUCCCUUUUUUACUAUAACCCUUGUGCAUUACAAAAGGUUGUUGUCUUACAMACAUUUGAUAAAUGAAAGAAAAACUUUCAGCAAUGGAUCUCUUGGCUCUCGCAUCGAUGAAGAACGCAGCAAAGCGCGAAAUGUAAUGUGAAUUGCAGAAUUCAGUGAAUCAUCGAAUCUUUGAACGCACCUGGCGCUCUUGGGUUAUUCCUAGGAGCAUGUUCGUUUGAGUGUCGCUUACCCCUCCACCCCCUCUCCUUUUAACGGGAGAGCGUCUCAGGGUGGGAUCGUGACGCGUUUGCCUUAAUGCAAGGCUGCGUUGAAUUGCAAGAAGCUGUACCUUUGUUACUGGCGGCUUGACCCGUUGUCAUAAGUUUAACUACUCUCAAUGGGGACGCCGGUCGGGAUGGGCUUACCACAAAUCUAAAAGUGAUUUUAAACUUGACCUCAAAUCGAGCAGGACUACCCCCUGAACUUAAGCAUAUCAAAA